UACGUAGGUGGCAAGCGUUGUCCGGAAUUAUUGGGCGUAAAGCGCGCGCAGGCGGCCUUUUAAGUCUGAUGUGAAAGCCCACGGCUCAACCGUGGAAGGUCAUUGGAAACUGAAAGGCUUGAGUACAGAAGAGGAAAGCGGAAUUCCACGUGUAGCGGUGAAAUGCGUAGAGAUGUGGAGGAACACCAGUGGCGAAGGCGGCUUUCUGGUCUGUAACUGACGCUGAGGCGCGAAAGCGUGGGGAGCAAACAGG
rnacentral:rRNA from 3 species